rnacentral:rRNA from 1 species
CACGUAGGGGCCAAGCGUUGUCCGGAUUUAUUGGGCGUAAAGAGCUCGUAGGCGGUUCGACAAGUCGGGUGUGAAAACUCCGGGCUCAACCCGGAGACGCCACCCGAUACUGUCGUGACUGGAGUCCGGUAGGGGAGUGGGGAAUUCCUGGUGUAGCGGUGAAAUGCGUAGAUAUCUGGAGGAACACCGGUGGCGAAGGCGGCAUCCUGGACCGGUAUUGACGCUGAGGCGCGAAAGCUAGGGGAGCAAACGGG